CAUUUAUCUCUAAUAUCCUUACUUUUCCAUUUUCCAAGGAGAUGAUGUCCGCAAAAUUUAAAAACAUUUUGCUCUAGGUUUUCGACUCCUCAGAUAUAAGAGGUGUCGAGGUGUACAGAACUAGAAGUUUAGAAGAAAAUACCAGAGAUUUAGAAUUAUUUUAUUCCCAUACGUCAUGGGACGGAGAGGGAGAGAACCGAUCAAGUCUUCAAAACUAUUUUGAUGUUGGUUUCAACAGUUCCAGAGACGGUAUUUCGCAGCUGUCUCCUCAAACCAGCUGUGAAGGAGUAAACGAAGAAGUAAAUUGGACUCUAGACGUCAACUCUAAAAGAUAUCAAGACUCUUUUUGGGAUUUUAAGUUUGGUGGAGAUAGAUACCAAGAAGAAACAGAGUAUUUAUCUGAAGAAAGCAAGGGGUUAGAAAACGAGCUUGUGAGAAUGGCUCUGCUGGAAUCUGAAAUUAAAGAUAGAAAACAUAUAUCAUCAGUCCCAGGUAUGUAAAGUGUAAGUUUUUAAAAACUCGAUGUGUGAAGAUCAUUUUUCAGAUAUCUUUGUUUUUAUUUCUAAAAAUAUAUCUUUGCAACCUGUGUCCGAAUUUAAUGAA